AUGGGCGACACGACCAGGAACCGGCACGGGAACGACAAUGACGACGCGAAGGCGCCAUCCUCGUCGCCGGAGACGGUGUACUACGAGGGGUGCCCCGGCUGCGCCAUGGAGCGCAAGAAGGAGAACAGCACGGGCACGCCCUAUAAGGAGUUCUUCUACGUCGGGGUCACCACCCUCGCCUCCGCUCUGCCAAUAUCAGCACUGUUCCCCUUCUUGUACUUCAUGAUACAAGAUAUGCAUGUGGCAAAGAACGAAGAAGACAUUGGUGUGUAUGCCGGUCUUCUUGGUGCAUCAUACAUGAUCGGCAGAUGUUUUGCCUCGCUGUUUUGGGGUGUGGUGGCAGAUCGUAUUGGGAGAAAACCUAUCAUUGCAUUCUCCAUGUUCUCAGUGGUCAUCUUUAACACUCUAUUUGGACUGAGUGAAAAGUAUUGGAUGGCGAUUGCCACAAGAAUGCUCCUUGGCUCUCUAAAUGGCAUGCUUGCCCCAAUAAAGGCUUAUUCAGUUGAAGUUUGUCGACCAGAACAUCAUGCUCUAGGAUUAUCAGUUGUAAGCACAGGUUGGGGCAUAGGUCUUGUUGUCGGUCCAGCCAUUGGAGGCUACUUAGCGCAGCCUGCAAAGCAAUAUCCAAACCUAUUUUCCGAGAAGUCAGUUUUUGGAAGGUUUCCGUAUUUGCUGCCAUGCCUUUUUAUUUCAUUGAUCGCCUUUGCUGUUCUAAUCAGCUGCAUAUGGCUACCGGAGACACUUCAUAUGCAUAAAAACUUAGAAAGGGAAGUAGAAAUGUAUUGUGAUUCAGAAGUUGCUCCCCAUAGAGAAGUUCCGCAUUCAGAGAAGAAGAGUCUAUACAAGAACUGGCCAUUGAUGUCUUCUAUAAUUGCAUAUUGUGUUUUCACCCUUCAUGAUACGGCAUACAGUGAGAUAUUUUCCUUGUGGGCGGUUAGUGACAAGAAGUAUGGCGGACUAAGCUUUUCAUCUAAAGAUGUCGGCCAAGUUCUUGCGGCUUCAGGUGCUGGACUUCUUUUGUAUCAAAUAUUUGUGUAUAGACAUGUCCACAAAUAUCUUGGGUCUAUCAUUUCAUCCCGUAUUGCAGCUGUUCUAUCAAUACCACUUCUUGCUACUUACCCAUUCAUGACACACCUAUCAGGGACCAAACUCGGACUAGCUAUUUAUUGUGCUGCCGUUAUGAAGGGUGCUUUUGCUACGACUAUCUUAACGGGCACUUGUAUUUUGCAAAACAGUGCUGUGCCACAAAAUCAAAGAGGUGCCGCAAAUGGAAUAUCUACGACUGCAAUGUCCCUCUUCAAGGCCAUUGCUCCAGCAGGAGCAGGUGUUCUGUUCUCAUGGGCCCAAAAGCGCCAACAUGCUGCUUUCUUUCCAGGGGAUCAAAUGAUAUUUCUGAUUUUGAAUAUAGUCGAAGUAAUUGGGCUUGUGCUAACCUUCAAGCCAUUCCUGGCAAUUCCAAAACAGUAUGAUUUCAAGUAG
rnacentral:rRNA from 1 species